AGGCAUGAUGACCUCAGAGUGGAUCUGAGUAUCUCGUUGAUGCUACCACCGCAGCGCGCUGACU